GCAGGCGCACAGCCUCGGCGAGCAAGGGGCGGACGUCCGGCCCGUAGUCGCGGUGACCAAAGUUUCUACAGAGGGGAGAGUGCAACAAAACAGCUUGUUUUCCUAAAAUUCAGAGGCUGAGCUAAUCUGGACCCCACGAGAUCGCAAACUGUCUUCGGGAUAGACCAGGGUCUCGGCUUGGCGUCACCAUCUGUGAAUCCAUUUGGUCCACACACCCACUGUAUGAAUACACAUUUCCAAACCAAAGCAGCUUUGGGAAAAGAAAAAAAACAAAAAAAACAAAAAAACAACAACAACAAUAACAAACUGAUAGAAUGGGCAAACAAGGAUUCUCAGACACUGUAAACAGAAAUCAUCCAUGCACCAUUGUGAAGGAUCCACUGUCUACAUGUGGGAGUUGUCUGCUUUACCACACUGUGGCAAGGAAAUGGCCUCCUAAGCAAAGAACAAAUGACUGUGGUUCCUGAGCAAGAAGCUCCUUCCUCCUUCAAGUAUGUCCUAAAGCAUAAAUGAACGGGAACAGAAACUUUAGGCACUGUUAUAUACAUUUUUUUUAAAAGUCUUAACAAUGUAAACUGAUGCAGACAGGCCUGUGCCUUGGUGACUGUCUACCUGAGAUAAAGGCAGCAGGCAGCAGGAGGCUGAUGGAGGAUUAGGUGUGUAUGUGUGCAGACCUAUAGAACCCACUGAGGAAGCAGCUGGGUCCCGGUGUCUCCCCAGUCCUGUGUGCUGGCUCAGGCGGCUGACUUCUCUCUCAUCCCUCUUUUGGUUACUAUCUGUUCUCCACUUGUGGUCCUUGGAGGCAGACAUCUUCAGUCACUUGACACAUCAACUCUCCUAAUCACUGUGUUUCCAAUGAGUAGAUAUAAGGUGAUAACCAUUUCUGAGUAUUGAUUUCCUUUGAUGAAGACUCAACUUCACAGAUUAAAGAUGUCUGUGGCUCAAAGAACAUUUUCCCACUGCUCCUACAUUAAACAAUGUAUUAAUAACUGGGUGGAGAUGAGAAAAAUGUUGAAAGCUUUUGAAAAACUUGAACUUAGAAACAGAAAAACUAGAAAUGGCCCCGAAAACCAAAAGAUCUCAUUAUCAUAAAGGAGAAAACCCUUUCAUUCUCAGGCAUGCAGGCAAUGGGCAUAAAGUGGUUGCUGACGUGUCUUUUAUGAGCCUCCAUCCCAAAGCGAUGGCUCAUGGCACGAGGAGAGGUUUCAGGCCUUCCAGUAAAAAUGCUCUCCACUCCCGUGCAUGGGCAGGGACAGAGGUGUCCUCUGCAGCUACACUUCCCACCCACUGUCAGAGUACAUGAUGGAACUCCGAAGCUUCAGGUAACUUUUCCUUUCCAUUAUAAACACCUAGCUAUUUCUAAAUUUUAGUAAUUUCUUUUGAGGUGGGGCCUUUCUGUCACUCCAGCAAUCCCCUUGCCUGUUUCACAGUAAGCUGGGGUACACAUAUGUUCCACAGUACCAGCCCCAUACCUUUCGGAAAUUAAAAGCAAUCUUACAUCAAAGUAAAAACACGCAACCAAAAAGAAAACGAGGCUACAACUAACAUUCACUUUAUUCAAUUCUGUUCUCUUAACUCAGAAGGCAACAAAUGACCACAUAAAAAAGGGAGCAUUUUUGAAUAUAUACACAUAAAAUUGAUCUGGGUACAGGUGUUUACUGUAAUAGAAAACUGACAUCCCACAUCACUAAGUGUUCUAGUUCAUUCCUACAACAGACACCCCUAGGCCUUAGUCAUUCGUUUCCAUCUAAGGUUCUAUAGGACUGUCAUGAUUACAAAAUGAGGCACUCAUACAGACAGGAAUGGAGACAUACAUAUACAUGUAUACUGUCUUAUUUUUAUAUUAACGCCAAAGCUAUUAUUGGAGAGUAUCUGAAAGAAGCCCUUGCUCACGGCAGCUGUUUAAAUGUUGACACAACAGCAGUAAGCUGAAACAAAACAUCUGAUUGACAGGGUAAGUUAAGUGUGUGGAGACUGGGCAGUUAGCAAAGACUGUAAAGCCCCCACAGGUGAGGUCUUCUGUAACACUCCAGCGGUACUAUGUUCCCUCGCUCCCCUUGACAAUGACUCAACAGGUACGAUCCUAGAGGACUGUUUUAACAAGAACUUUGAACAUCACAAUGUAGAAUGAGGCAUCACAGUAACGAGCCUGAUAUUCUCCAUCCCAGAGAGGAGAGGAAGGAGCUAAUUUGGAGCACCGUGACAAGUGCCAAAUUCUUGCAUAAUGGCACUGGCUCCUGUGUCUGCAAACACAACAGGGUACAAAUGUCCAAUGCAUAUUUUGUCUUUGUCUUAAAAUUUCAUCAGCUCAACCUAAAUUUAAGAAUACACUCUAAUGAAGCAUUUGUGCAACAAAAAAACAAUGCACCUAAUAAACUCAUUGGAGGACAAUAACUCUGUUCCUCGAGGGGAAGGCCUGUCUGAGAAUUCACAGUAAUAACAACCAUACUGAAUGCUGACAUAAAAAUGACUGCUCACAUAUCCUACCUCCUUCCCCCCACCAGAGAACAGGAGUGGGGGCUGGGACCACAACUAUAAACAUGGAACUUUAAGGCUAGCUACACACAAAUUUUACAUUGGCAUUUUCUUUAGUUUUCAUCUAAACUAUUAGGAGUUUGUAGUUUAAAAUCAAACCAUAAUUUGUUAAUAACGAACAACUAUACAUUUCAAAGUGACCAUUUGAUAACUGGUCAUGUAAAACUAAUCCCAAGUGGUGAUUUGUCUUCAAAUUAU
rnacentral:sRNA from 1 species